rnacentral:rRNA from 1 species
AUUGAACGCUGGCGGCAGGCCUAACACAUGCAAGUCGAGCGGAGCGGCGGACGGGUGAGUAAUGCCUAGGAAUCUGCCUGGUAGUGGGGGAUAACGUCCGGAAACGGGAGCUAAUACCGCAUACUAUCAGAUGAGCCUAGGUCGGAUUAGCUCGGUGGUGGGGGAAAGGCCUACAAAGGCGACGAUCCGUAACUGGUCUGAGAGGAUGAUCAGUCACACGGGAACUGUAACACGUUCCAUACUCCUACGGGAGGCAUCAGUGGGGAAUAUUGGACAAUGGGCGAAAGCCUGAUCCAGCCAUGCCGCGUGUGUGAAGAAGGUCUUCGGAUUGUAAAGCACUUUAAGUUGGGAGGCGUUACCAACAGAAUAAGCACCGGCUAACUUCGUGCAAGCAGCCGCGGUAAUAC